rnacentral:rRNA from 1 species
GAUGGACGCUGGCGGCGUGCCUAAUACAUGCAAGUCGAGCGAACAGACGAGGAGCUUGCUCCUCUGACGUUAGCGGCGGACGGGUGAGUAACACGUGGAUAACCUACCUAUAAGACUGGGAUAACUUCGGGAAACCGGAGCUAAUACCGGAUAAUAUAUUGAACCGCAUGGUUCAAUAGUGAAAGACGGUUUUGCUGUCACUUAUAGAUGGAUCCGCGCCGCAUUAGCUAGUUGGUAAGGUAACGGCCUACCAAGGCAACGAUGCGUAGCCGACCUGAGAGGGUGAUCGGCCACACUGGAACUGAGACACGGUCCAGACUCCUACGGGAGGCAGCAGUAGGGAAUCUUCCGCAAUGGGCGAAAGCUUGACGGAGCAACGCCGCGUGAGUGAUGAAGGUCUUCGGAUCGUAAAACUCUGUUAUUAGGGAAGAACAAAUGUGUAAGUAACUAUGCACGUCUUGACGGUACCUAAUCAGAAAGCCACGGCUAACUACGUG